rnacentral:lncRNA from 1 species
GGAAAGAGUUUUUUUUAAUUAAAUGUAAUUUUAUUUCAGAUUUUUAUUGAUAUUGUGUACAUUUGAUGAUUGUUGUGUAAUAUGUAAUUUGUUUUCAGGAAAAUUAUUUGUAAAAUAGCGCUAUAUGAACAUUCGUCCCGCAGAGAAUAUUUGAUGGUGCUCUAUAAACAUUUGUCAGAAUACACAGAAUUAUUUCUGAUGCGAGAACAUGCAUAACGCGAAGUAGAAGUGUUGCUGCUUAAUGAACAUUCGUCUAGAACGUCAAGUGAAGAAGAUUUGUCAGUGCUCUAUAUAAACAUUUGUUAAAAUAAGCAGAACUCGUAUUUUAUGAACUUUCGUAAUGAGAAGAAGAUGUGUUGGUGUUUUAUGAACAUUUGUCAAGUGAAGAAGAUAUGUCUGUGCUCUAUAAACAUUCGUUAAAAUAAACAGAACUCGUGUUUUAUGAACAAUCGUCAUGUGAAGAAGAGAUGUUGGUGCUAUAUGAACAUUUACAAAAUUAAAAGAUCAUAAAGAACUGUGCGGAAGUCAAACUUUGCGGGAAGACGAAAAUGAACAAUGUACACUCAGAAGAUUGUAUUUAUAUUUGAUCAAAUAUUGUUUUAUAAUUUUGAAUAUGUAUGCUAUAGAAUAUUUUAAUGAAAAAUAUUGGAGAACUUGUUUUAAAUUUUAGGGAAUGGCUAUUCAUGUUUGAGGGCAAACAUUAUUUUUCAAAGGUGGGGAGAGUGUAACAAAAUGGGGGUUCUUUGAAAUGGAACUUGUUUUCCCUAAAAUUGUGUGAUGAUGUUGUUAAAACCUUACCGUUUAUUGACUGUUUUUAUUUUAUAUUUCUUGUACAACUUUGUGUAAACAUUGUUAACUUUUUAUUAUUCUUAACGUCCAUGUUUUGAAUUUAUAUUCGGAACUCCCCUCGAUUGUUCAUGUCAAAUGAAGUACAUAAACGUUUACCAAUCGUUCCGAACAUUAUUUUUGGUAAUUACCAAUUCCGGUUUUGGUAAUUUAGGUAUUUUACCUAAAUGGUAAAUGGUAAACCAUUUCGGUAAAUGGUAAACCAUUUCGGUAAAUGGUUUACCAAAGUAUAAAUACUGAGGAGAGAAAGGAGAAGGCUUCAGUACGACUUUACCCUGGGCAAGUGACACACGCUAAUUCCAAGCG